GUUGACCUCGAAUCAGGUAGGAAUACCCGCUGAACUUAAGCAUAUCAAUAA
rnacentral:rRNA from 3 species